GCAGUGCCAUGGGUUCCUGUUAGUGCCCCCCGUGGGGCACCGGGAGCGCUGUUGCUCGUACUGCAGCCAUUACAAGCCCGCAAAAUAUCCUGGUGUUACAGAGCCGGCAGCUUCUGUUCCAGGCCCCUUCAUAGAUGUGCACUGUCUCCCGUCAUAGCUGAGCGCGGUCUCAAAAAUGUCGGAUGGAUCCCAAAAGUGAUGUGAAAAAUCAGCCGUGGCUUGCAGAAAACAGCUUGGAAAUGUGAUUUUCAGUUCACACAGGAGCUGUGAGCCUGCUGAUGGACAGAGGAUAUCGGGAAUGUGCUGCAUCUUUAUCUGUCAGUGUAGAAAGAGCUAUACCACACAGCUUUACUCAGCUUAAAGUCACUUUGUCCUGCUGUGAAUAGUGGCACUCCUGCGGCUGUGAUGGGCAUGGAUGGAAAGAAGGUGCCGUUUUUCAGCCCUAUCCUCCACUGCGAAGUCAUCAAAGUGUGCUGCCCAGAGAGCAGCACACUGUGAGAGCAGGAUCUGGUGUCUCUCUACUCUUUCUCAAAAUCUGUGCUGCCAAGGAUCAGAGAGCCAGAUGGAGAAGCACCUACUGUAGUCUGCCAGUCUUGUGUGUGGCCAAGUUUUUACUUUUGAAAUACAGGAUGUUAUCCCUUCCACGUUUGCCAUUGUGAAUAA